rnacentral:snRNA from 1 species
UAAGAAAAACUACAUCUUG